rnacentral:tRNA from 1 species
CGGGGUGUAGCGCAGCUUGGUUUAGCGCGCAUGCUUUGGGAGCAUGAGGUCGGCGGUUCAAAUCCGCCCACCCCGA